ensembl:lncRNA
GAACUACCAAAAUGUUUGUAAGGGGGUGGUGACUUUCUAUACAAAGUGUAUAAAACCUUUUUUGAAAGGAAGUAGGGUUUCAUGGAAAUUGUGGUUGUGGGUUAGUUUAAAAUGAAAUAUGAAGCUGUGCAUUGUCAAACUUAACCAGUGAUUAUGGAGAGCACCUUUUGUUUCAGCAUACAUAGAAUGGGAUGUCUUUGGUUUAUUUGGAUGAUUUUGUUCAUUAUCAAGACAAAUCAAUCAGUGAAAUCUGAGUUUCAAGUGGUUCAGCUUGGAGAUCAUACCAUUUUGCCCUGUGACAUCUCUUACCAUUACGACAUAACGUGGUUGAAACACCAGCCUGACAAAACUCCUGUCAUUGUGUUGAUUACAAGUAUAAUCAAUGGGAAUAUAAUCAAUCAGCAACAACACAAUCAUCGUUUCAAGGCAGAGAUUUGGAACAGGUCACUGGCAUUGAAAAUCAGUACUCUCCAAGAUGCAGACAGUGGAUUUUAUUUUUGCAUGGGAAAGGUUGGGAAAACAAUGACGGUUGGAAGAGGAACCUUACUUCAUGUCUCUGGUCUUCAAACGCAAACUGAUUCUUCUGCUACUCAUGGACUAACAGCCUCAGGCCUUCAUUUCACCCGGAAUGAAUCCUCUGCCACACAUGGAGCAGUGUCACAUGUGAUGUCUACUGGCACCUCGGGGCUCACCUUCAUUCAUCUGUAUACAACCGCAGUUGGACUUGGUCUGAUGGGAAUGAUACUAGCAGUUUUCAUUGCUCAUUACACGGCCAAAAAAAGAAACAGGACAAUCUGACCAAAGAAGUGGCGCUGUGUGCUCUUAUCUUACUCCGUGUUUUUCCGUGUCUGUUAACAGUAACCUACACUCACCUAAAGGAUUAUUAGGAACACCAUACUAAUACUGUGUUUGACCCCCUUUCGCUUUCAGAACUGCCUUAAUUCUACGUGGCAUUGAUUCAACAAGGUGCUGAAAGCAUUCUUUAGAAAUGUUGGCCCAUAUUGAUAGGAUAGCAUCUUGCAGUUGAUGGAGAUUUGUGGGAUGCACAUCCAGGGCACGAAGCUCCCGUUCCACCACAUCCCAAAAAUGCUCUAUUGGGUUAAGAUCUGGUGACUGUGGGGGUAAUUUCAGUACAGUGAACUCAUUGUCAUGUUCAAGAAACCAAUUUGAAAUGAUUCGAGCUUUGUGACACGGCCCAUUCUCCUCUGACCUCUAGCAUCAACAAGGCAUUUUCGCCCACAGGACUGCCGCAUACUGGAUGUUUUUCCCUUUUCACACCAUUCUUUGUAAACCCUAGAAAUGGAUGUGCGUGAAAAUCUCAGUAACUGAGCAGAUUGUGAAAUACUCAGACCGGCCCGUCUGGCACCAACAACUAUGCCACGCUCAAAAUUGCUUAAAUCACCUUUCUUUCCCAUUCUGACAUUCAGUUUGGAGUUCAGGAGAUUGUCUUAACCAGGACUUCACCCCUAAAUGCAUUGAAGCAACUGCCAUGUGAUUGGUUCAUUAGAUAAUUGCAUUAAUGAGAAAUUGAACAGGUGUUCCUAAUAAACCUUUAUGUGAGUGUAUAAUCUCUGAAGAAACAUGAAAUCCAUAGUACCUGUGUUUUGGAUGAUGUUUUCAGAAUAAGAGUCUAAAACAGACAAGUGAACAGAUCUACCUGUGCUCCAAAUACAGAUCUACCUGCGCAUCUGGACUCCUAGUUGUCAAGUGCCCUUUGGUGCAUUCAUAAUUAUUAUAAUUUUGUACAGUUGUUGUUGUUGUUGUUCUAACUGGGUGUCUGCCUGUAAGUCACUGUGAUGUCGUCCAGUUUCUUUACCCCCAACCUAUCUGUUGGUUGCCUCUGCUGGUCUCUUAAGUGUGUCUGUUUGUCAGUCUGCCCUAUACAGAGGCUAAACAUUAUUGGCUUCCAAACAUGAAUGGAUUGAGAAUUAGUGUAGUCAUUAGUGUAGUGUGUGUAUUUAGUUACUAAAAAAUCUGACCACAGCAACUUUUAAUUUUGCCUUUGCUAACACUUGGUUUAUUCAUCUACACAUCAUCUGUAUUUGUUGUGCAAAGCAAAAAGAAGCAUGAAUAUAUCCAAAUGCCAAAGUUACUAAUUUGUUUUAGUGAAGAGUAAUAUUUUUUUUUAUUAUGUUAGGGUUAGGGUUAGGGUUAUUAUGUUUAAUGCAACAUUAUGAAUAAGCAACUUGAUGCCUAGGAAAGUUUCAACUUGGCAACAACAAACCAUCACACUGUUCAUGCUGCCACUUAACAUACCAACCUUGUUUGUUGUGGUUAGGGUGGUAUAUUAACAAAGUUAUUCAUUUUCAGAGAACAUGCUGCUAGUUUCAGAGAACAUGCUGUUAUAUCUAACAGGAAGUGAAAAGUUCCAUAAUGGUUUUGGUAAAAAAAAGUAUAAAUGGGGUCAGAAUUGCACCAUCAAGUCAGACUUCGAAGAGUUCCAGCCUGCAAAUAAUGUACUUUUUUCCGGAAAAAAACUAAAACAUAUUGAGUUAAACAUUUGCAUUUGUAGGUAUGUUAUUUUAGAGGACCUUUGUGUCUAAGGUCUUUAUGUUAAGUCUCUCCAGGAUAUGCAUUUUGCUCCCAGUAACCAUGCCUUUAGCAACUCCCUGACAACCUCAGGGCUGUUCAGACUAGUGGUGCUUUUAAAGCAGGGCCUGACUCCUAACCGAUAUAACCGUUAUAUUUUAAUAUUAUUCUUGUAUUAUGAAAUGUACUUCCUUUGUAAUGCAAUACGUUAUUGUACUUCAUCAAAUCUCAGAACGUUUAUCCAACGGUCGCCUGCGUCAAGAAAACUGCGGUAUUAAUAACAACGGAUUUUUCGUUCUGUUCGUCUGCUUCCCCCGGAUUUUCCCUUGGAUAUGGCAGUUUAUCAAUCCGCAUUUUUGUCCGUACUUGUGUUCUUGUGAACUCGUUUGACGUCAUCUUUCAUGGCCCAAAUACGGUUCCAAUCCAAAGAACGCAAGUUACCAAGAACCCCUAAAAUGGACAAAGUGUCUCACCAUAGACACAACUAUCCCGGGUUUUUUAAAUCUGAAAACGAGUAAGUUUGAAUGAAAACGUAUUCUCGAGGUUUUGUUACUAUUAUAUAUUCCUGAUAGGAAACUUCUACUGUUGUUUUGAGAAGGCUAAGUUCAGCAAUCCAUUUUUGUUUAUUGUUUAUUAAUUUUAUUUAUUAGUUUUUUCUUCUAUGUUCAUUUUAAAGAGUAACAUUUCUCUAAUUU